GGUAAUGAUGAAAAUGAUAUAAGUAUGAUAAAAAAAGCAGGUCUUGGAGUAUUUAUGAAAAACACAAGAGAAGAAUUAAAGAAAUAUGCUGAUU
rnacentral:sRNA from 2 species